AUGAUCAUAAGUUUCCUGAGGCCUCCCCAGCCAUGUUGAACUGACAGCCAAGCCACCAAAAUAUCACUUGGAUGCUGCCAGCUUCCUCCAGUGCAGGCAGAGGAGGUGUCCUGGGAGCCCACAGGCUGCAUCCCCAUGGGACAGACGCCUCCAUCAGUCCCCUAGGACCCCGUCCAGUAUAGGGCACCCACUAGCCCAACCAGGCACAGGAUGCAAUGACGAAAUGCUGGCACUUGGGGCUUGUGGCUUCCUGGACACCGAUCACACUGUUACCUAAGUUGUCUCAUCACCUGAACAGCAGACUUUUCAAGUUGUGCUCCCGAGUCUGGGGAAGACUUUGAUGUAGAUCCAGCUUCACUCACCUAUGCCUCCAGGGUGAGGCAUCUGCAGAACCAACGUCAAUUGACCUGGAUCCAAGAAGAGUUAUGGUGAUUGGAAAUUGAUCAAAAUACAGAGAUCAACGAUGCCCAAUAAGAGGAAGAGAGAGAUGAUGAGGUCUGUGAAAGCUCGUUCCUUUAAUUCUCAGGGUCUUAGGAUGGAGGAGAAGGAGCCUGGAGACAGGACUCUGGAAGUCUAGGACUCUUCCCAGGGGUAUCUGGACAAUCCCCAAUAGAGCACUUGGUCUCUAAUUUCUCACAGUGGCCACCUGCUUUGGAAUCACUCGGGAAACUUAUUAAGGAUACAGGUGCUUUGGUGCCCUCGUCCCCAACCAACCAGGGUCCCAGGGUCAGGACUCAGGGGCUUUGUGAGUCACAAGGUCUCCAGAUGAUUCUGAGACUUUCAACCAGGGGCUUUAAAGUAGGGAGAAGAAACCAAGACGCCUGUCCUUUGGCUUUAUGUGCUAACACUUGUCAAAUGCCUUCAAAUCUGAGGAAAUGGGAGGGAAGAGUUCAAUUCAAGAAGGGGAAACUUCGGCGAUGACCUGGGGUUUUCACUUUUAUUUUCUAGCAUUCCAUAAUGUUAGCCAUGGUUUUAAGCAACUGCUCAAUUCAGCUAUUGCCCAUUUUAUAGACAUGGAAACUGAGGUGAAGAUGACCCAACUCCUGCCUAAAGCCCAACAAAUUCUGCCUGUGGAACCCUGGGCUUCUCCUCUCCUCCUAGUGUUCUUUCUUCCACGAGUUUGUGAUCCAAACACAUGCAUCGUCAAAAGCUCAUUUUCAGUGUUUGCUGUCCCUCAGGCUCUGUGCUGACUGUGUUCUAUGCACUCUCAUUUAAUCUUCAUCAUGAUUCAAUGACAUAAAGAGAAGGAAAAUAAUGUUCAGAGAGAUUCAGCAAUUUGCUCAACGUCACACAGCUCCAAAGCUGUGGGAUCCCAGGGUCCCCAGGGGCCCUGCUCCCAACCUUAACUCUAGAUCUAAGCACCUCUUCCCACCCCCCGGGUGACAGGGAAGAAGAAAUUGACCCUUGCUGGUUACACUUUCAGUUACGAGACUCAGAAGAGGCAAUGCAAAUGGGUUCAACCAUGAGUGCUUAAACCCCCCCUCCCACAUACAACACACACACACACACACAUACCCUCCUCUCAAGACACACAUACACGCACAUGCGCACACACCAUCCACACCUUCUAUGCCACCCCUGCACAUGUCAGGGUGAGGGCAUGGCACGCUUGGAAUUCACCACUACCCUUGCUUUGCUCAGCAAGUCAGGAGCCUGCUGAAUAUGUCAGCUGGCUUGGCAAAAAGGAACCUGCUCACAAGGUGGUUCUGGUGGAUGGGACAGGGGACAGGCUGUGCCACACACCAGGAGCCUGCAGAGACCCAAAGAGGGAGCAGCUGGAGAGGAGAGCAGAGAGUGGGGCUGGCAGGGGGUUGGGGGGCUGCCAUUGAUCUUCUCCAGGGGACACUGAGGUCACAGCUCUGGCAGGCAGCAUCUGGACGCCUGCAGGAGGUGGGUAAUGGCCCAUAAAUAAUGCACCAGGACAAGACAGGGGCAGCCGGUGGGAGUGGGCGACUCUGGACUUGGAGGCAGGAGACCCCAGAAGGAAUCCCACCCUCAUCUCAGAUGGUGGAUGGGUGGGUGUAUCCCUCUCUGGGCUCCGUUUUGCAAAAUGUGAGCCAAGGGCACUCAUCAACAUAACUGACCACUGUGAGGAUGACAAGAGAAAACAGGAGAAUGUGUCAUCAACAGAAAGGCCUGAUCCAAAUGGGAGAUGGUAUUGUAGGGGAGGAAAAAAAGAUUCCUUUCCCUUCCAUCCUCCUAGAUUUUCUGGCUGGGGUCCUGUAAACAAGGCUGACAACAGACAGAUUAACAAGAAAAAAAACAAGCAGAAGUUUAUUAACAUGCGCAUCAUGCAUACACAUGGAAAUACUCAGGGAUGAGUAACUGAAAGGAGUGGCUAGAACUUGGGCUUAUACAGCAUCUUGACAAAAGAACAAUAAAUUAUUAGAGAAGUGACAAGACAAAGUGAAAAGACUUAGAGCUUCUAGGGAGGCAAGCUGUGGGAGGGUAAAUAUAUGGAGAAACUAAAGGAAGAUAGGGUGGGUGAGUCAGGCUUGUUUUGUAGAUUCCUCUGGUGCCCUCUCUGGGCUAAGGGUCCAAAGUUAUCUAUGUUGAUUAACUUCUGUUCUUCCUGGCAGAGAGUGAAGAAGAGCUACUUUUACAAAUUUAUAUCCUGCUUGUAGGCAAAUAGGGGGAGGCCAGAGAGUUUUUCUUGUAUCUGCUUCUUCUCAGUUGACUUCAGUUCAAAAUAACCAAUGUGCUAAAAUGGCAUAUUUUGGUACUAUAAUUAUUAAAUGUUUAUACUAUUACAUUAACAGAUAUAUAAUUAUAAUUAUUAUUCCAUCUAGAGAGGCAGUAAAGCAUAGUAGUUAAGAGACCCACAGCUGAGCGUGGUGGCUCAGGCCUGUAAUCUCAGUACUCUCGGAGGCUGAGGUGGGAGGAUCCCUUGAGCCCAGGAGGUUGAGGCUGCAAUGAACCAUGAUUACACCACUGCACUCCAGCCUGGGUGACAGUAGGAGAUUCUGCCUCAAAAAAAGAAAAAGAACAGAGACCCUGGGCCCACAGUGCCUUUGUUCAGACCCAAUUACUGGCUGUGCGAGUGGGCAAGUGACUUCCUUUCUAGGCCUCAGUUUCCUAAUCUGUAAACUGGGGACAAUGAUGGGAGCCAUCACAUGGGGCUGUUACGAGGACUGAAUGGGCUAAGGAUGUGCCACUCUUGGAACAGUGUCCGGCACGGUGGAGGAGUACACGAGGGCUGGCUGUUCUUUCCUCUGGCAGGCAGGAAACAUCGUGUUGCCUACAGAAUGGGCUGUUGGGCUGAUGUUGUGGGGGGCUUAGGAUCCUGUCUGGCAGAGGGUCUAGACUCAAUGCAUGGUGGCCCUAAUGAUUAUGCAGGGACCCCAGGCCUGAGGCCAUAGGUGGUCCCAGGAUGCUGACAUCUACCUGUCCAGCAUCACUGCUCACUCACCAGCCUGUGACUCCCUUCCCUAGAAGGCCCCUGGCAUCACUCUCUGUGAUCCAUCCGGCCCAACCUGCUGAGCCAAUGGUUCUGUCUCAGAACCAAAUUCUGACCCACCUUGAGACCUCCCAUUAGACCUCAAUAUACAAAUUUUUUUAAAAGCGCUUUUUUGUUAUGCAUCUUUCCUGAUAGUAAGUGGGUGCUUAUAGCAAUACUCCAGUGCAAUUCAACCAUUAUAUGAUAAGUGACCAAUAAGGGUCAGAUGUGAUUCUUGGCAUCAUGGAUAGGGCAUUAUAUUCAUUUUUUUAAUGGAAGCUGUCAAAAAUCACAUUUGUGGGCCAGGUGCGGUGGCUCAUGCCUGUAGUCCCAGCACAUUGGGAGAUGGAGGCGGGUGGAUCACCUGAGGUCAGGAGUUCGAGACCAGCCUGACUAACAUGGUGAAACCCCAUCUCUACUAAAUACAAAAAAAAAUUAGCAGGGCAUGGUGGUGCAUGCCUGCAAUCCCAGCUACUUGGGAGGCUGAGGCAGGAGAAUCGCUUGAUCCCAGGAGGCAGAGGUUGCAGUGAGCCAAGAUUGCCCCAUUGCACUCCAGCCGGGCAACGGAGCAAAACUCCAUCAAAAAAAAAAAAUCACAUUUGUGGCUUAAAACAACACAAAUAUAUUUACUUACAGUUCUGGAGGUCCUCAGUCUGAAAUGGGUCUCUCUGGGCUGAAAUCAAGAUGUUGGCAGGGCUGCCCUUCUUUUGGCAGCUGUAGGGGAAAAUCCCCUUCCGUCCCUUUUGCAACUUCUAGAGGCUGCAUGCUUUCCUUGGCUUUGUGGCCCUUUCUCUAUCUUCAAGUCCAGCAAUAUUGUCAAGCCACAUCCUUUUCACACUGCCAUUUAUUUUGUUCCCUCCUGCCUCCCUCUUCCACUUUUACGACCCCCGUGAUUACUUUGGCCCCACCUAGAUAAUCCAGGAUCAUGUCCCUAUUUUAAAGUCAGCUGAUUAGCAACUUUCAUUCCAUCUGCAACCUUCCUUUCCCUCUGCCAAGUAACAUAACAUAUUCAUAGUUUCCAGGAAUUAACAUUUGGGGGGGUGGGGGUUAUUCUGCCCACCACAGGUACUAAUAUUUAUUGUCCAUGGUCCAUGAUAUUCCCAGCUUGCAUUGCCACUUUACAAACAUUCAUCUACUCAUUCAUUCAUUCAUUCAUUCAUUCAUUGAGCAAGGACUGGUGGAGGGCUCCCAUCUACUGAGCCCAUACUAAGUAUCUGGGGCUAAACAGUGAUCAAGCUUCCGUGCCCUCAGGAAGCUCAUCGUUCAGGGCACAGAUGAAAUUGCACAAAGACAACCACUGUAUGGAGUGACGAAGGGUGGUUGAGCCACUUGCUUCACUUUUGUGUAUCUGUUUCUUCAUCUGUAAAAUCAGAAAAAUAAAGCUACAGCUAGCUCUCUAAAUAUUGAGUGAGUCAAAGGAGAUAACAUAUGUAGGUAAUGCCCUCUGCGUUAUCCCUGGCACAAUAAAUGGCAGAUUAUUAUUACAACUGAGCAUGGGGCUCAAAGGGGGCCCAGAGGAGGCGAGUCAGGGAAUGAAGGGGUUAGUUGAGGUCUAAAUGGACACUCCAGAGAUAAAUGGGAUUAGCCAGAGGAGGUGUAGAAAAUGGAAGGAAGAGGUCUCCGGACAGAAUGCACAUGUAAAGACCCCACGGUGAACAAGCCCCUCAGUCCUCACGACCCCAAAGCCCCACCAGCUCUCUUCUUGUCAUGUGCAUGAGUUGUGCUCCCUCCCCAGAAGUCUUGAAGCCCCAGGAUCCCCCUGACUUCUCAGCACCCAGUUCCAAAGCAGCUGGAUGUGUCACAGCACCUACUGCACUCAUCACAAGGAUUCUCUUUGCCCCCACGUUUUGCACCUGAAACUACGUGAUUCAUCGUCCUCACAGCUACUAAUCAAUGGAUUCAAACUGGGCACCAGGCCCUGGGCUGUUACCCACUCACUAAUUCCGCAAAGCUUUAUCAUUAGACACACUUGAGAAACAAAGAGAUCUGCAAGGUUAGGUUACUUGCUCAAGGUCACCCAGGUAGUGGAUGGUGGAACCCAGGGCUGUCUGUCUCCAAGCCAUGAAGCCUGCACAGACCAGCAGCCUAGGCCUUUAAUGCUCAGCUCUAUGCAUGGAGGAUAUAGGUGAGGAAAGCAGGAUGGGUUGGGACCUUAGAAGAAUAGCUGUUCUGGCCAGGCGCAGAGGCUCAUGCCUGUAAUCCCAGCACUUUGGGAGGCUGAGGCAGGAGAAUCGCUUGAGUUCAAGAGUUUGAGACCAGCCUGAGCAGCAUAGGGAAACCCUAUCUCCACAAAAAAUACAAAAACUAGCCAGGUGUGGUGACAUGCACCUGUAGUCCCAGCAACUCAGGAGGCUGAGGUGGGAAGAUCGAUUGAGCCUAGGAGGUUGAGGCUACCAUGAGCUAUGAUCACACCACUGCACUCCAGCCUGAGCAAUGGAAUGAGACCCUGUCUCAAAAAGAAGAAAAAGAAAAAAAAAAGAAUAGCUGUUCUAUCCUAGAGUCAUAGAGUCAGCCUAGUAGGGACCAGAGCCUGGGGCAAGGGGCAGGGCAGAGGCCAGGGCACUUGCUAAAAAAGAACAGACUCCCUUCUUUGCCAGAAUAAGUUGUAACAGUAAUGAGUUCCAAGAAAAGAAAGGACAAACAGGCUUAGAUGCUUAAGGGAGGAGGGUUCCACACCGUGCCCUCCCAUCCCCAGCAGGGCCUGGUCCUGCCCAAGAGUAGGGACAUCUGACUCAGAACCAGCACAGGAGCGGAGGGAGGGCUGAGCCUCUCAGCUCAUCCCUUCCUUGACUGGAGACAAAGCUGUGCAGACAAACAAGGAAAAAAGCCCAUGUCGGAUUCACGGUGUACACUUUUGGCUUCUGGUCCCUUCAUUUUCAUAGCGACAUCAAGCCAACUGUUUUCUCUUGGAGAGCACAGACCUCCACCCACACUGUCAUAAUAUCCAAACUACCUUCUUGGCAUUAAAUCUUUCUUUUAUGAAAUCAUGGUGAUAACAGAUGAUUUGUGUGUGUAUUAGGUAAAAUAAAUGAUUAGCAUCUGAACAGUAAAGAGUUAGCUCAGCAGGCUGGUAUUGCUCAAAUUGUUUGAUAACAAUGUUUUUGUAUGUCUGGGGCCUCGUGCCACACUGUAUCAGUUUGACCAGAGUUUAUGCUAACAAUGUAACUUGUGAUGAAUGCCUGUUUUUGUCUGUCUGACACCACUGUAUCAGUUUGAUCUCUGGGGGCCUGGAGACUGGUGGCUAAGGUUGGUCACAUGGGUGAUGCAUACUUACAUGAUCGAUUCAAUAAAAACCCUGGAUGCUAAGGCUUGGGUGAGCUUCCCUGGUUGGUAACACCUUGCAUAUGUUGUCAUACAUUGUUGCUGGAAGAAUUAGUGUGUUCCCAGGUGAAUCCACUAGGAAGGGACACCUGUAAGCAUGCACCUGAUAUCCCCGGGACUUUGUUUUUGUACCUUUUCUUUUUACUGAUUUUGAUCUGUAUCCUUACACCACAAUAAAUGAUAAACACAAAUACAAUGGCUUUUCUGAGUUCUGUGAGUCCUAGCAAAUCAUGAAGACUGAGGGUGAUCUUGGGGACUCUCAAGCCAGCAUUCUAAGUUGGCUCCCCAGUUUCUGUUAUUUGGAAACUUGAUUGAAACCUCUGAUUCAACCCAACCCUGUUGUCAUGGUGCUCAGGAUACUGGGGAAACUGCAGCCCCUGGG